rnacentral:rRNA from 1 species
UAGCAUAAUCAUUAGUUUUUUAAUUGGAAACUAGAAUGAAUGGUUGGACAAGAAAAAAACUGUCUCUUUUAUUAAAAUUGAAAUUAACUUUUAAGUGAAAAGGCUUAAAUUUACUAAGGGGACGAUAAGACCCUAUAAAGCUUUAUAAAUUCAGGAAUUUUAGAUAUUUUAUAUAUAAAUCUAUUUUUUGAUAAUUUAUUUGGUUGGGGCGACAAGGGUAUAAUUAUAAAUAACUGCCAUUAAUGUUUAUACAUAUAUUUUUGAUUUAAAUUUGAUAUAGUAGUUGAUCCUUUUUAAGGAUUUAAAGAUCAAGUUACUUUAGGGAUAACAGCGUAAUUUUUUCUGAGAGUCCUUAUCAAAGAAGAAGUUUGCGACCUC